rnacentral:rRNA from 1 species
CAGCGAAAUGCGAUACCUAGUGUGAAUUGCAGAAUUCCGCGAAUCAUCGAGUCUUUGAACGCAAGUUGCGCCCGAGGCUUGUCCCGAGGGCAUGCCUGCCUGAGCGUCACCGCACUCUCACCCGACGAUCUUUCGUCGCGCGUGGAUUUGGCCGUCCGGGAUCGGGCGUCGAUGCCUGGCGUCGCGGUCGGCUGAAAUGGAGCGUUCUGGACGAAGCCGGAGACGGGGACUGCGAGAAGGUGAUCCGCUCCACGAGCGGAGUCUAUUUUGACAGCGUCCCUCGUCCCGGAAGGUCCCAUGGAACUCGGAGCGGGAGCUGGCCCGAUCGAUCGUUCGCGCGAUCGAUCGGGCCAGUAGCACCACGGCUUGGACCUCAGAUCAGGCAAGAUUACCCGCUGAGUUUAAGCAUAUCAAU